UGUUGCAACAAGAGAGGAAAUAAUACUUCUGUUGGUUUUUUUCACAGGUGAUAUGCAGGUCUCCACUGGGGCACUUUUCUAAGGAGUUUUCAAGGUUAACGCUGACUGUGUGUCACACACCGCCUUCAAGCCCAAUCCCAUGCAAGAGGUGCCUCUUUUGUACAGGAAGAGUUGAUGGAGGACAGGAUGAAUCUCAUCACCCUUGGCUUCUGGUUUCUGGCUAUGACCUAGUCACUUCCUAUGGGAACCUGCUUCUGAUCCUCAGCAGAGACUGGAGGACCUUUCACCUCUGCAUCCUUCAUUAUCCACAUGCAUUUCUGUAUCCAGAGCUGGAGGCAUUUGCGAUGACUCUCCAAGGUCACCAGGAUGUGGCCUGGAAAGGCCAGCAGGAGUGGAGUCAAAGGAAGGAAUACACAAGUAACAAAGGGAGAAAUUACAACAGUGAGAAUUUCACUAAGGAAUCUAGCCCAUGUCAUCAUGUUUACAGACAGCCCUGGAUUCAACUUGGGACUGGGGCUUAGGGAACCUGGCACCUUUAUUAGCUGGGUAACCUGGGAUGAGUCUAACCUUCAUGAUUUGUCUUCUCAUCUGUCAAAUUGGGCUAAAGAUCUCAGUCUACCCCAGGAGUCUACUGUCAGGGUCAAAUAAAACGAAAGAAUGUGUAUAAAAACAUCAAAA